rnacentral:lncRNA from 1 species
GCCAGGAGAUCGAGACCAUCCUGGCUAACAUGGUGAAACCCCGUCUCUACUAAAAAAUACAAAAAAAAAAAAACUAGCCAGGUGCGGUGGGCGAGCCUGUAGUCCCAGCUACUCGGGAGGCUGAGGCAGGAGAAUGGCGUAAACCCGGGAGGCAGAGCUUGCAGUGAGCCGAGAUCCGGCCACUGCUCUCCAGCCUGGGCGACAGAGGAAGACUCCGUCUCAAAAAAAAAAAAAGAAAAGAAAAUUGGACUAGCAAUUUCUAGCUCACAGGUUUAUGAGGAGUAUGAAACAGGAGUGUGUUUGCAAAGUGACUGGCACACUGUCCUCAGCAUGGCAGACAUCUAUCAUCAGUGGAAUAGGACAUUAAUUUUUUUUUUCUAAGAUGCCACCUUUUGACUACCUUCCCCAUCUGCCUCACUAACCCGUAAAGCAUCACUAUUGGAGAAUGCAGCUAUACGAGGCAGGACUGUGGACUGCCAGCCCUCCCUUUGCCCCACCCUGCUAUGUCCCUAGAAGUAAUAAAAUGUCAAUAGGUAAAGACAUGGGAGUUAGCGUUAGUGCCUUCCAGGUCAGCUCAACAACAUUUGUUGAUUUUUUUUUUUAUUUUUUAUUUUUUUUUGAGAAGGAGUCUCACUUUUGUCACCCAGGCUGUGCAAUGGUACAAUCCUGGCUAACUGCAACAUCCACCUCCUGGGUUCAAGCGAUUCUCCUGCCUCAGCCUCCUGAGUAGCUGGGAUUACAGGCACACACCAACACGCCUGGCUACUUUUUAUAUUUUUAGUAGAGAUGGGGUUUCACCACGUUGGCCAGGCUGGUCUCGAACUCCUGAUCGAGGUGAUGCGCCCUCCUUGGCCUCCCAAAGUGCUGGAAUUACAGGUGUGAGCCACUACGUCAGGCCCAUUUGUUGAUUUAUUGAUGUAAAUGUACCAUGUACCAAGAACCUUGUUAGACACUGUGGCACUAAACUCCUAAGACACAGUCCUGCCAUCAAGGAGCUCACACUCCUAGAGGGGAGAAGAAAACACAAAAAAUGAAAUACCCAGCAUGUAAUUUGGGUAAUGUGUUAUACAAAACUAUGCAGGAGAGGCAGUAGCUAAGUGUCUAAGCAAUGAAACACACAGCCAUGGUACACACGUUGUGUACACUGCCAAACCAUUAUGCUGCAUGGGGUCCUAACCAGUCUGUGCUGUGCCUUGUGAAAUUCUCUGAGUAUCCACCUGUCUCUAUGUCUUCAACCUGAAGCUAUAACACUGAUAUUUUGCCUUUGGUGAUUCUCAAAUGCUCAGCUAUGAUAGGGUUUACAAUCACAGAGCCUUCACAAAGUCAAGCCAGCAUCUGAUGUGAAGGUAACUAUUCUGGACAUAGCCUAGCAAGUUCUUUUUCUUGAGGGGUCCAGCAUCACAAAACUUCCCAGUAGAAACCAUGUGUUUAAGUAAGUGUCAGCUGCCUGUACUCCUAAUGCUUUGGGAGGCCAAGGCAGGAGGAUCACUUGAGGCCAGAAGUUUGAGAUGAGCCUGAGCAACAUAGCAAGACCACAUCUCUCAAAAAAAUUUUUUCUUAAUCAACCAGGCAUGGUGUUGCACGCCUCUUGUCCUAGCUGCUCAGGAGGUUGAGGCAGGAGAAUCACUUUAGCUUAAGAGUUCAAGGCUGCAGUGAGCCAUGAAUUGCACCAGUACACUCCAGCCUGGGUGAUAGAGAAAGAUCCUGGUUCAAAAAAAAAAAAAAAAA